AAGUCGUAACAAGGUUUCCGUAGGUGAACCUGCGGAAGGAUCAUCAUUGAUUGACCUUGGUAUAUAUAUAUAUAUAAACCAGGUUAAAUUCUAUUCGAUGACUUAUAGACCCAACUUUAAACCGACGAUGAUGAUGACGACGGUCAUCAAUAUAUUAGUAGGUUUUAAUAUGAGUUGAGGUGAUCGUGUAUGUAUGUGAAAAUAUAUACACGGUCUGUGAUGGAUUAUGAUUACGAUCAUGAUGAUUAACAUCACACCUGGUGUAGAAAAGGGUCUAGACUUUUGACGAAGGGUCCGGAUUCUUACACCGACAUAUGGAACAUACUAGUUAAUGAACGGAACAGGAGUUUUACCGGAUCGUGGUUUAUACACACCGGAGAUAAAUGAUGAAAACUUUCGGCAAUGGAUCUCUUGGCUAUCC
rnacentral:misc_RNA from 1 species